UGAUCCAGCCCAUGCCCGCGUGAGUGAAGAAGGCCUUCGGGUUGUAAAGCUCUUUCGGCCGGGAAGAAAUCGUGGUCUCUAACAUAGGCCAUGGAUGACGGUACCGGACUAAGAAGCACCGGCUAACUACGUGCCAGCAGCCGCGGUAAUACGUAGGGUGCGAGCGUUAAUCGGAAUUACUGGGCGUAAAGCGUGCGCAGGCGGUUUUGUAAAACAGAUGUGAAAUCCCCGGGCUUAACCUGGGAACUGCGUUUGUGACUGCAAGGCUAGAGUACGGCAGAGGGGGGUGGAAUUCCUGGUGUAGCAGUGAAAUGCGUAGAGAUCAGGAGGAACACCGAUGGCGAAGGCAGCCCCCUGGGCCUGUACUGACGCUCAUGCACGAAAGCGUGGGGAGCAAACAGGAUUAGAUACCCUGGUAGUCCACGCCCUAAACGAUGUCGACUAGUCGUUCGGAGCAGCAAUGCACUGAGUGACGCAGCUAACGCGUGAAGUCGACCGCCUGGGGG
rnacentral:rRNA from 1 species